rnacentral:pre_miRNA from 1 species
AGCUGCAGUUGACGUCGACAGCGCUUGCGGCGCUGCCCGUUGGCUGCCAGCUGCC